CUGUCCUGUCCCCUCCCUGAUCCUACUCUGGAAAGGGAGGGAACAAUGUCCCCAUUGAGGCCCAUUUCCCUAAGGAUAACAUCUCUGUGUCCAUCGGGACCGAAGCCAAGCAGCCCCUCUGGAUUCUCCAGCGAAUAAUAAUGAGAAGACACUGCCCCAGUGGCCUACAGUCCUUUCCAGCUUGAUUCCAUCACUAGCCAGAACCCUGCUAUGCCUCACUUUAUAGAUACCAACAAUGAAGCUCAGAGAAGCUCCAGCACCUGGACUGGGCAAGCUGGGCCUAGAGGAGUGGUGCCCUGGGCUAAUCCUUCUGGGAUGAGAUAAAGAGGUCAGAGGGCAGGCAGG